AUUGCUGAUUCCCUUUCUCGUUUUCAGUUUCAGGAUUUUCGGAGGAUGUGUCCGGAUGCUGCGUUGGAAGGGCUCCCUUGCCCCCCAUUGGUCUGGGCCCUGCCGAGCAACGUCUGAUCCCACUGGUGGAAUCGUCGCUGGCGGCAUCUACAUGGGCGGGACAUGAUGUGCAGAGGACGAUGGUUUAUUUCCUGGGCCACUCUUAUUUCCACCGGGCCGCGCAGAGAGCUGAUUGCCGGCCGGGUGGGAGAUCGUUGGGAUGCGGCAAUGUUGAGCCUCACUGGAGGGGGAUCCCAGUCACAGCUGGCCUGAGGAGAGGAGAAUUGAGAAGUGAUGGCCCUAGGCACUUUUGCCCGCCGGGAGUCCGGCGGCUGGCAAUACCGCUUCGGCUGAA